GUUUGGAUAUUUUAUGAGAACGAGAGUGUAUUUACAAAAAGUUUAAUUUAUACGUUCAAAUUAGUAAAAGUCUAAAAAAUGUAAGAUUAGAAACAUAAGUUUAAUCUUCGCUGAAUCAGUUAUGAGAUCUAAUUUAAUAGCAAUUUAAAAUUGCUGCAAAAUCACGGGUUUUCAAUGGGUGUAUGUGAUACAAAUGCAAGAAGGGAGACCAAUAAAAGAACAAGCCAUGUGGAAGAAGGUAUGAAUAGCAAGACCAUAACAAACCAUUCACGCGGAAAACAAAAGGAUGACGAAAGUGAAAGGUAGUUAAGGAAAAAAAAUGAUCAGAAAAAAAGGAGUGCAUGAAUUGUGAGCUGGGAGUCUAAUACUGCUUGUGGGCUUCUCCCUUGAUUUUUCUUUCCUUUUCCUCCUUGUAAUUACUCUUGACCUCAUACACCAGAUAUCAUUCCUUGUGUUAGUUCUAUUAUUUUUUAUAUACUAUACACACAUUAUCAUUGGA